rnacentral:rRNA from 1 species
AGAGUUUGAUCCUGGCUCAGGAUGAACGCUGGCGGCGUGCUUAACACAUGCAAGUCGAACGAACCUUCGGGUGAGUGGCGGACGGGUGAGUAACGCGUGGGAAUCUGCCCUCAGGAGGGGGAUAACGACUGGAAACGGUCGCUAAUACCCCAUAUGCCGAGAGGUGAAAUGAAUUUCGCCUGAGGAUGAGCCCGCGUCUGAUUAGCUAGUUGGUGAGGUAAGAGCUCACCAAGGCGACGAUCAGUAGCUGGUCUGAGAGGAUGAUCAGCCACACUGGGACUGAGACACGGCCCAGACUCCUACGGGAGGCAGCAGUGGGGAAUUUUCCGCAAUGGGCGAAAGCCUGACGGAGCAACGCCGCGUGAGGGAUGAAGGCCUCUGGGCUGUAAACCUCUUUUCUCAAGGAAGAAGAUCUGACGGUACUUGAGGAAUAAGCCACGGCUAAUUCCGUGCCAGCAGCCGCGGUAAUACGGAAGUGGCAAGCGUUAUCCGGAAUCAUUGGGCGUAAAGCGUCCGCAGGUGGCUUUGUAAGUCUGCCGUUAAAGCGUGGAGCUCAACUCCAUUUCAGCGGUGGAAACUACAAAGCUUGAGUGUGGUAGGGGCAGAGGGAAUUCCCGGUGUAGCGGUGAAAUGCGUAGAUAUCGGGAAGAACACCAGUGGCGAAGGCGCUCUGCUGGGCCAUAACUGACACUCAUGGACGAAAGCCAGGGGAGCGAAAGGGAUUAGAUACCCCUGUAGUCCUGGCCGUAAACGAUGAACACUAGGCGUCGGGGGAAUCGACCCCCUCGGUGUCGUAGCCAACGCGUUAAGUGUUCCGCCUGGGGAGUACGCACGCAAGUGUGAAACUCAAAGGAAUUGACGGGGGCCCGCACAAGCGGUGGAGUAUGUGGUUUAAUUCGAUGCAACGCGAAGAACCUUACCAGGGUUUGACAUCCUGCGAACCCCUGAGAAAUCGGGGGGUGCCUUCGGGAACGCAGUGACAGGUGGUGCAUGGCUGUCGUCAGCUCGUGUCGUGAGAUGUUGGGUUAGGUCCCGCAACGAGCGCAACCCACGUCUUUAGUUGCCAGCAUUUAGUUGGGCACUCUAGAGAGACCGCCGGUGAUAAACCGGAGGAAGGUGUGGAUGACGUCAAGUCAUCAUGCCCCUUACAUCCUGGGCUACACACGUACUACAAUGCUACGGACAAAGGGCAGCGAACUCGCGAGAGCAAGCAAAUCCCAUAAACCGUGGCUCAGUUCAGAUCGUAGGCUGCAACUCGCCUACGUGAAGGAGGAAUCGCUAGUAAUCGCAGGUCAGCAUACUGCGGUGAAUACGUUCCCGGGCCUUGUACACACCGCCCGUCACACCAUGGAAGUUAGCCACGCCCGAAGUCGUUACUCCAACCCUUGUGGAGGAGGAUGCCGAAGGUGGGGCUGAUGACUGGGGUGAAGUCGUAACAAGGUAACC